rnacentral:rRNA from 1 species
CUACGGGAGGCAGCAGUGGGGAAUAUUGGACAAUGGGCGCAAGCCUGAUCCAGCAAUGCCGCGUGAGUGAUGAAGGCCUUCGGGUUGUAAAGCUCUUUCGCCCGCGACGAUGAUGACGGUAGCGGGAGAAGAAGCCCCGGCUAACUUCGUGCCAGCAGCCGCGGUAAUACGAAGGGGGCUAGCGUUGUUCGGAAUGACUGGGCGUAAAGGGCGCGUAGGCGGCGGUUCAAGUCGGGCGUGAAAGCCCCGGGCUCAACCUGGGAACUGCGUUCGAGACUGGAUUGCUAGAGGUCGGGAGAGGGAAGUGGAAUUCCCAGUGUAGAGGUGAAAUUCGUAGAUAUUGGGAAGAACACCAACGGCGAAGGCAGCUUCCUGGACCGAUUCUGACGCUGAGGCGCGAAAGCGUGGGGAGCAAACAGGAUUAGAAACCCGAGUAGUCC